UGGUGCCUUCGGGAACUGUGAGACAGGUGCUGCAUGGCUGUCGUCAGCUCGUGUUGUGAAAUGUUGGGUUAAGUCCCGCAACGAGCGCAACCCUUAUCCUUUGUUGCCAGCGAUUAGGUCGGGAACUCAAAGGAGACUGCCAGUGAUAAACUGGAGGAAGGUGGGGAUGACGUCAAGUCAUCAUGGCCCUUACGACCAGGGCUACACACGUGCUACAAUGGCGCAUACAAAGAGAAGCGACCUCGC
rnacentral:rRNA from 1 species